rnacentral:rRNA from 1 species
UACGUAGGAGACGAGCGUUGUCCGGAGUUACUGGGCGUAAAGGGUGCGCAGGCGGCCCUGCGCGUCGCGAGUGAAAUCUCCACGCUCAACGUGGAGGCGCCACCUGAAACUGCCGUGACUCGAGUCCGGUAGGGGAGUGUGGAAUUCCCGGUGUAGCGGUGAAAUGCGCAGAUAUCGGGAGGAACACCAGUGGCGAAGGCGGCACUCUGGGCCGGUACUGACGCUGAGGAGCGAAAGCGUGGGGAGCGAACAGG